CCCUUAGAUGUUCUGGGCCGCACGCGCGCUACACUGAGCCCUUCAUCGAGUUUACAACCUUGGCCGGUAGGUCUGGGUAAUCUUCUCAAAGGGGCUCGUGCUGGGGAUAGAUUAUUGUAAUUUUUAAUCUUCAACGAGGAAUUCCUAGUAAACGCAAGUCAACAGCUUGCAUUGAUUACGUCCCUGCCCUUUGUACACACCGCCCGUCGCUACUACCGAUUGAAUGGCUUAGUGAGGACUCCUGAUUGGCGCCGCCGCCCCGGCAACGGAGCAGCGGACUGCCGAAAAGUUGUUCAAACUUGAUCAUUUAGAGGAAGUAAAAGUCGUAACA
rnacentral:rRNA from 1 species